AAUAGAAGAAAAGAUACUAUUAUUCUAACCUUGUAUUAUGAGCACGUCACGUGUUCUUAAAGAAUUGUGGAGUGAAGGAAUAAGAAAAUGUGAUGCUUGGAAGAAAGAACACAGCGCCAAGAGGCCUUGUUGCUGAAUUUGCUGAACAAUAGGCAACCUCCAAGAGUGCUCGCCUGCAAUUCCAGCUCUGCUAUCAAUUCACUGUAUGCCUUUGGAUCAUCUACAAGAAAUGAACGAUGUUCAAAAUUACUUGUCAUGCCCUUUGCUUGGGGCUGAAAACAAGAUGCAGUCAUACAGAUUUCAGCUACAGAAGGGCAAGCAAAUGGAGUGUGUAAUCUAGAGGCAGCCUGCCUGGGAUCAAAAUGCUUGCAGUAUAACCAUUGACAGCUUCCAUAACUUAUCUCUUCCCAGGUUAACCAACCUGUAAAAUGGGGGUAAUAUUUGUUCCUUCUUCAUAGGGUUGUGCAUAAAAAUCUGAUGAGAUUAUAGGUGGAAAGAAGUGCGAACCUACAGAAACCUUUCCAUAAAUGCUACCUAUUAUUAUUAAAUUGCAGCUUUCAUUUAGUUUUCAAAUUUAAAGACUAAAAUCAGCUGAGAUAUACUCCAAUCUCCAGCUAAUGUUUGCAAAAGUAUUAGUAGUAUUCCCUUCAUCUUUCCUCAUCCCUUUUUUUAAAAAAGAACUCUAACUGGUAAAAUGCAUUUAUUUCCCUUGUAUCUGUACAAGCCAUUGAUUUGUCAGGAGAGAAAUACAAAGACUUUCACAUUUCUACUGCUCUCUAUCCUGAAUUAACACUCUGCUUCUGAAUUUAAGGCAGCAAAACUCUAUUCAGUGUUUUAAGAGUGGGUAAAAUAUAUAGAAAUGAGAAUAGCCUUGACAAGUUAACAUCAAUGUGAAUGAGACUAGAGAAAUAACAUUCUGUAUAUGAGUGCUUUUCUUUUAAAUAGUCUUACCAACUUUCAAAUGAUUAGACAAUUUUGUUUCAUUCCCUUCAAAUUUACAAAUUAAUAUUUUUAAGAGAUGGAGUUAAUAACCAGUUAAAAACUAUAAAGUCUUCCUCAACUGAAGUCUGGAGUUUUGCUAUAUAAAACUGACUUAGAGUUACAAUAAAAAUACCAAUAUCAUGCAAUACUAUAUUUGUAUUUCUCCGUUUAAUUGCUUUUUAUUUUCAAACAGUAUGCAACUAAGACAUGCCUGAGUGAAGUUUCCUAGGAGCCAAAUAAUUAAUCCAACAUUUAUCUGAAAUGCAGAACUAACUUGCAUAAUUCUUCAAUUGAAUAUCACACCUUUGAUGGGUACAUACAAAUUUUUUCAACCCGAGGCUUGAAAAGAUGUGUCAUAAAGCAUUCUGAUUAAUCAAGAACACCUUGUAAUUUGCUGCAUUUGGAAUGUAGAUACCUAACUUCCUGAAUCUUUUAACAAAAUAUCUGUAAAAUUGCAUGAUCAAAACUAUACCUCCACUGAACAAAGUGACAGAGAUGGUACUAACAUCGACAAAAGGUAAGAGAAGGGUAGAUUUCAAAAGGUUCUAGUUGUUUCUAUACUCUCUCACUCUUACAGUGAAAUCGAGAGCCGAAAAAGAUUCUAGGGUUUAAAAUUCAAUUAAAGCAAACACUUUUGACAAUUAUUUUACUAUUUGAUGUAAAAAACUAGAUUUUUUUUGGUCUAAUACUUUAGUUGUUUGCCUCUUUUUAAUUUUUUCAUAUGUAUGAUUUUAUUUUAAAGUUCCACUGAGGCAGUAUACAUAUGCCAGCCAGAAAAUGCAGAUAUUAAGGGAUUUUAUUCAUAACAGGCUAAAUUUGUCUCAUGUGAAAGAUAAAAACACUUUGGAGUUGAUGAGUCUAUGAUUUUAAGUAAAAUCCUCAUUCAAAUGUGAUUGCUUUAUAGGUUUAACUCUGGUCAGAGUAAUUUGUGUUCUUUCUAUAUAUUACUCCAACUAUAAUAAAGCUGUUUAUGCAAAUGUGAAA